rnacentral:tRNA from 1 species
UAGAAGAUAGUAUAAUUGGUAGUACAUAAAGUUUUGGACUUUGAUGUGCAGGUUCGUGGCCUGUUUUUCUA